UACGUAGGGGGCAAGCGUUGUCCGGAAUCAUUGGGCGUAAAGAGCGUGUAGGCGGUCCGGUAAGUCCGCUGUGAAAGUCGGGGGCUCAACCCUCGAAUGCCGGUGGAUACUGUCGGGCUAGAGUGCGGAAGAGGCGAGUGGAAUUCCUGGUGUAGCGGUGAAAUGCGCAGGAUAUCAGGAGGAACACCAAUUGCGAAGGCAGCUCGCUGGGACGUUACUGACGCUGGAGACGCGAAAGCGUGGGGAGCAAACAGG
rnacentral:rRNA from 1 species